rnacentral:antisense_RNA from 21 species
GUUUAUGGUGGCCGUGCGCUUGGCGUCUUCGGACGCACCGGCUUGCCUGGUCACCGGUCUACCAACCUGCGUACGGCCGCCACCC